rnacentral:rRNA from 1 species
UACAGAGGUCUCAACCCGUUGUUCGGAUUCAUUGGGCGUAAAGGGCGCGUAGGCGGCCACCGCAAGUCGACUGUGAAAUCUCUGGGCUUAACCCAGAAAGGUCGGCCGAUACUGCGGGGCUAGAGUGCAGAAGGGGCAACUGGAAUUCUCGGUGUAGCGGUGAAAUGCGUAGAUAUCGAGAGGAACACCUGCGGCGAAGGCGGGUUGCUGGGCUGACACUGACGCUGAGGCGCGAAAGCUAGGGGAGCGAACGGGG